GUGAGUCAUCGAAUCUUUGAACGCACAUUGCGCCCGCCAGUAUUCUGGCGGGCAUGCCUGUUCGAGCGUCAUUUCAACCCUCAAGCUCUGCUUGGCGUUGGGGAUCGGCAGCCCGGCUUCGCGCCGCGCCGUCCCCCAAAUACAGUGGCGGUCACGCUGCAGCUUCCUUUGCGUAGUAGCACACCUCGCACCGGAGAGCAGCGCGGCCACGCCGUAAAACCCCCGACUUCUUGUUUUUGACCUCGAAUCAGGUAGGACUACCCGCUGAACUUAAGCAUAUCAAUAAGCGGAGGA
rnacentral:misc_RNA from 1 species